GAUGAACGCUAGCGGCAGGCUUAACACAUGCAAGUCGAGGGGUAUUUAUCUUCGGAUAGAGAGACCGGCGCACGGGUGCGUAACGCGUAUGCAAUCUACCUUUUACCGAGGGAUAGCCCAGAGAAAUUUGGAUUAAUACCUCAUAGUAUAUAGACUCUGCAUCGAGAUUAUAUUAAAAUCACAACGGUAAAAGAUGAGCAUGCGUCCCAUUAGCUAGUUGGUAAGGUAACGGCUUACCAAGGCUACGAUGGGUAGGCGUCCUGAGAGGGAGAUCCCCCACACUGGUACUGAGACACGGACCAGACUCCUACGGGAGGCAGCAGUGAGGAAUAUUCGACAAUGGGCGAAAGCCUGAUCCAGCCAUGCCGCGUGCAGGAUGACGGUCCUAUGGAUUGUAAACUGCUUUUAUACGAGAAGACACACUGCUACGUGUAGCAGCUUGACGGUAUCGUAAGAAUAAGGAUCGGCUAACUCCGUG
rnacentral:rRNA from 1 species